rnacentral:pre_miRNA from 1 species
GAAGUCAACCAUUUCGCCGUUUACCCUGAGACUGGGUUUUUUUUUCAAAAAAAACCCCAGUCUCAGGGUAAACGACGAAAUGGUUGGCUAUAUCU